rnacentral:rRNA from 1 species
GCUAGUAGGUGGGGUAAUGGCUCACCUAGGCGACGAUCCCUAGCUGGUCUGAGAGGAUGACCAGCCACACUGGAACUGAGACACGGUCCAGACUCCUACGGGAGGCAGCAGUGGGGAAUAUUGCACAAUGGGCGCAAGCCUGAUGCAGCCAUGCCGCGUGUAUGAAGAAGGCCUUCGGGUUGUAAAGUACUUUCAGCGAGGAGGAAGGCGUUGUGGUUAAUAACCUUAGUGAUUGACGUUACUCGCAGAAGAAGCACCGGCUAACUCCGUGCCAGCAGCCGCGGUAAUACGGAGGGUGCAAGCGUUAAUCGGAAUUACUGGGCGUAAAGCGCACGCAGGCGGUCUGUCAAGUCGGAUGUGAAAU